rnacentral:rRNA from 2 species
AAACUAACAAGGAUUCCCCUAGUAGCGGCGAGCGAAGCGGGAAGAGCUCAAAUUUAUAAUCUGGCACCUUCGGUGUCCGAGUUGUAAUCUCUAGAAGUGUUUUCCGCGUUGGACCGCACACAAGUCUGUUGGAAUACAGCGGCAUAGUGGUGAAACCCCCGUAUAUGGUGCGGACGCCCAGCGCUUUGUGAUACACUUUCAAUGAGUCGAGUUGUUUGGGAAUGCAGCUCAAAUUGGGUGGUAAAUUCCAUCUAAAGCUAAAUAUUGGCGAGAGACCGAUAGCGAACAAGUACCGUGAGGGAAAGAUGAAAAGCACUUUGGAAAGAGAGUUAACAGUACGUGAAAUUGUUGGAAGGGAAACGCUUGAAGUCAGACUUGCUUGCCGGAGCUUGCUUCGGUUUGCAGGCCAGCAUCAGUUUUCCGGGGUGGAUAAUGACGGUUUGAAGGUAGCAGUCUCGGCUGUGUUAUAGCUUUCCGUUGGAUACAUCCUGGGGGACUGAGGAACGCAGCGUGCUUUUUGCGAAAGACUCGUCUUUUUCACGCUUAGGAUGCUGGUGGAAUGGCUUUAAACGAC